rnacentral:rRNA from 1 species
UACGUAGGGUGCAAGCGUUAAUCGGAAUUACUGGGCGUAAAGCGUGCGCAGGCGGUUAUGCAAGACAGAUGUGAAAUCCCCGGGCUCAACCUGGGAACUGCAUUUGUGACUGGCGAGCUGGAGUGUGGCAGAGGGAGGUGGAAUUCCACGUGUAGCAGUGAAAUGCGUAGAGAUGUGGAGGAACACCGAUGGCGAAGGCAGCCUCCUGGGCCAGCACUGACGCUCAUGCACGAAAGCGUGGGAGCAAACAGG